GAUGAAGAACGUAGCGAAAUGCGAUACGUAAUGUGAAUUGCAAAUUCAGUGAAUCAUCGAGUCUUUGAACGCACAUUGCGCCCCCUGGUAUUCCGGGGGGCAUGCCUGUCCGAGCGUCAUUGCUGCCCUCAAGCACGGCUUGUGUGUUGGGCCCCGUCCUCCGAUCCCGGGGGACGGGCCCGAAAGGCAGCGGCGGCACUGCGUCCGGUCCUCGAGCGUAUGGGGCUUUGUCACCCGCUCUGUAGGCCCGGCCGGCGCUUGCCGAUCAACCCAAAUUUUUUAUCCAGGUUGACCUCGGAUCAGGUAGGGAUACCCGCUGAACUUAAGCAUAUCAAUAAGCGGAGGA
rnacentral:misc_RNA from 1 species